rnacentral:rRNA from 1 species
UGGGGAAUAUUGGACAAUGGGCGAAAGCCUGAUCCAGCAAUGCCGCGUGAGUGAUGAAGGCCUUAGGGUUGUAAAGCUCUUUUACCCGGGAAGAUAAUGACUGUACCGGGAGAAUAAGCCCCGGCUAACUCCGUGCCAGCAGCCGCGGUAAUACGGAGGGGGCUAGCGUUGUUCGGAAUUACUGGGCGUAAAGCGCACGUAGGCGGCUUUGUAAGUUAGAGGUGAAAGCCCGGGGCUCAACCCCGGAAUUGCCUUUAAGACUGCAUCGCUUGAACGUCGGAGAGGUGAGUGGAAUUCCGAGUGUAGAGGUGAAAUUCGUAGAUAUUCGGAAGAACACCAGUGGCGAAGGCGGCUCACUGGACGACUGUUGACGCUGAGGUGCGAAAGCGUGGGGAGCAAACAGG